rnacentral:misc_RNA from 1 species
GCAAUUCUUCAUAAUGAGCUGGCAGAAAGAUUUUCCCAUGUGAAUCUUCGCCUCAAACACACCAUUUUAGGGUUAUUUGUCCGAGAAUAUAAAUAGUGUCCUUAUCUCAUUUUGGGAAAGGGAGGAAAAAGAAGAAGAAAGAGAGGAAGACAAAGAGGGGCGGAAAAAUAGAGCAGCAGCCGACUUCCAUUUUUGAGAGCAGAAUCCAGUUUCUUCUCCUCUUCUUCACCAUUUUCUAAGUUUCUCUAGUUUUAGUUUAUUUUCAUGAUU